rnacentral:rRNA from 1 species
GGUGAGUAACACGUAGGUGACCUACCUAUCGCUGGGGAACAAGCCCGGGAAACCGGAGCUAAUUCCGCAUACGCUUUCCAACUGGCGGGUUGGAAAGGAAAGAUGGCCUCUUCAUGAAAGCUAUCGGCGAAUGAUGGGCCUGCGCGUCAUUAGCUUGUUGGUGAGGUAACGGCUCACCAAGGCUGCGAUGACUAGCUGGUCUGAGAGGAUGAUCAGCCACACUGGCACUGGAACACGGGCCAGACUCCUACGGGAGGCAGCAGUGGGGAAUAUUGCGCAAUGGGCGAAAGCCUGACGCAGCAACGCCGCGUGAGUGACGAAGGCCUUCGGGUCGUAAAGCUCUGUCGAGAGGGACGAAACACCGGUGGGAACAAUACCUCGCCGGUUUGACGGUACCUCCAAAGGAAGCACCGGCUAACUCCGUGCCAGCAGCCGCGGUAAUACGGAGGGUGCAAGCGUUGUUCGGAAUUACUGGGCGUAAAGGGCGUGUAUGCGGAUCAAGAAGUCGGGUGUGAAAGCCCUGGGCUCAACCCAGGAAGUGCGCCCGAAACCAUUGGUCUUGAGUUCCAGAGGGGAGCGGGGAAUUCCCAGUGUAGAGGUGAAAUUCGUAGAUAUUGGGAAGAACACCCGGUGCCGAAGGGGCCGCUCUGGAUGGAUACUGACGCUGAGGCGCGAAAGCGUGGGGAGCAAACCGGGAUUAGAUACCAUGGUAGUCCACGCUGUAAACGAUGUGCACUAGGUGUCGGGGGUAUUGACCCCCCCGGUGCCGCCGCUAACGCAUUAAGUGCACCG